GAUGAACGCUGGCGGCGUGCCUAAUACAUGCAAGUCGAGCGAACAGACGAGGAGCUUGCUCCUCUGACGUUAGCGGCGGACGGGUGAGUAACACGUGGAUAACCUACCUAUAAGACUGGGAUAACUUCGGGAAACCGGAGCUAAUACCGGAUAAUAUAUUGAACCGCAUGGUUCAAUAGUGAAAUACGGUUUUGCUGUCACUUAUAGAUGGAUCCGCGCCGCAUUAGCUAGUUGGUAAGGUAACGGCUUACCAAGGCAACGAUGCGUAGCCGACCUGAGAGGGUGAUCGGCCACACUGGAACUGAGACACGGUCCAGACUCCUACGGGAGGCAGCAGUAGGGAAUCUUCCGCAAUGGGCGAAAGCCUGACGGAGCAACGCCGCGUGAGUGAUGAAGGUCUUCGGAUCGUAAAACUCUGUUAUUAGGGAAGAACAAAUGUGUAAGUAACUAUGCACGUCUUGACGGUAACUAAUCAGAAAGCCACGGCUAACUACGUG
rnacentral:rRNA from 1 species